rnacentral:rRNA from 1 species
UACAGAGGUCCCAAGCGUUGUUCGGAUUCACUGGGCGUAAAGGGUGCGUAGGUGGUUGGGCAAGUCUGAUGUGAAAUCUCCGGGCUUAACCCGGAAAUGGCAUUGGAAACUGCCUGGCUAGAGUGUUGGAGGGGGGGACUGGAAUUCUCGGUGUAGCAGUGAAAUGCGUAGAUAUCGAGAGGAACACCAGUGGCGAAGGCGAGUCCCUGGACAACUCCUGACGCUGAGGCACGAAAGCUAGGGGAGCAAACAGG